rnacentral:tRNA from 1 species
GGGUAAGAUGGUAAGUGUGGUGAAAUCAGCGGUCUGUAAAACCGUCACGUAAUGUUAUGUAGGUUCGAUUCCUUCCUUACCCAC